CCUACGGGAGGCUGCAGUGGGGAAUAUUGGACAAUGGGCGAAAGCCUGAUCCAGCCAUGCCGCGUGUGUGAAGAAGGCCUUCGGGUUGUAAAGCACUUUCAGUGGGGAAGAAGGCCUUGGGGCUAAUACCCUCGAGGAAGGACAUCACCCACAGAAGAAGCACCGGCUAACUCCGUGCCAGCAGCCGCGGUAAUACGGAGGGUGCGAGCGUUAAUCGGAAUUACUGGGCGUAAAGCGCGCGUAGGCGGUCUGAUAAGCCGGUUGUGAAAGCCCCGGGCUCAACCUGGGAACGGCAUCCGGAACUGUCAGGCUAGAGUGCAGGAGAGGAAGGUAGAAUUCCCGGUGUAGCGGUGAAAUGCGUAGAGAUCGGGAGGAAUACCAGUGGCGAAGGCGGCCUUCUGGACUGACACUGACGCUGAGGUGCGAAAGCGUGGGUAGCAAACAGGAUUAGAUACCCUAGUAGUC
rnacentral:rRNA from 1 species